rnacentral:rRNA from 1 species
GACGAACGCUGGCGGCGUGCUUAACACAUGCAAGUCGAACGGAAAGGCCCUGCUUUUGUGGGGUGCUCGAGUGGCGAACGGGUGAGUAACACGUGAGUAACCUGCCCUUGACUUUGGGAUAACUUCAGGAAACUGGGGCUAAUACCGGAUAGGAGCUCCUGCUGCGUGGUGGGGGGUGGAACGUCUCGGCGGUCGGGGAUGGACUGGCGGCUUAUCAGCUUGUUGGUGGGGUAGUGGCUGACCAAGGGUUUGACGGGUAGCCGGCCUGAGAGGGUGACCGGUCACAUUGGGACUGAGAUACGGCCCAGACUCCUACGGGAGGCAGCAGUGGGGAGUAUUGCACAAUGGGCGGGAGCCUGAUGCAGCAACGCCGCGUGCGGGAUGACGGCCUUCGGGUUGUAAACCGCUUUCGCCUGUGACGAAGCGUGAGUGACGGUAAUGGGUAAAGAAGCACCGGCUAACUACGUG